GUGAGCUAGUUUCAAGCCAGCCACAUAACCACUCUGCCUCUUUCUUCGCUAAGAUACUAGUUAAAUAUGUUAUAACACUGCCCUGUCAGAGCAGAUUUGCAAGUUAAAAUCUUGCGCAUCUUA
rnacentral:tRNA from 1 species